GAUUAGGAGACGUUGAAUACAAAACACCACCAUACAUAAUUCAGUGCAUGGCCAGUCAAAUGGUUGUGUAUUGUUUGUGUAUGGCACCGGUGAAUGACUCC
rnacentral:rRNA from 1 species